GAUGAACGCUGGCGGCGUGCCUAAUACAUGCAAGUCGAGCGAACAGACGAGGGGUUUGUUCCUCUGACGUUAGCGGCGGAGGGGUGUGAAACAUAUGGAUAAUACCCAUAUAAACCUGGGACAACUCUGGGAAAGCGGACCUAUAACCGGAAAAUAUACUGAACCCCACUGUUCAAUAUUGAAAGACGAAUUUGCUGUCACUUAUACAUGUAUCCGCGCCGCUUUUGAUAGUUGGUAAGGUAACGGCUUACCAAGGCAACGAUGCGUAGCCGACCUGGGAGGGUGAUCGGCCACACUGGAACUGAGACGCGGUCCAGACUCCUACGGGAGGCAGCAGUAGGGAAUCUUCCGCAAUGGGCGAAAGCCUGCCGGAGCAACGCCGCGUGAGUGAUGAAGGUCUUCGGAUCGUAAAACUCUGUUAUUAGGGAAGAACAAAUGUGUAAGUAACUAUGCACGUCUUGACGGUACCUAAUCAGAAAGCCACGGCUAACUACGUG
rnacentral:rRNA from 1 species